rnacentral:rRNA from 1 species
CCGUUAUAACCGGCGAUUUCCGAAUGGGGAAACCCAGUGUGAUUCGUCACACUAUCAUUAACUGAAUCCAUAGGUUAAUGAGGCGAACCGGGGGAACUGAAACAUCUAAGUACCCCGAGGAAAAGAAAUCAACCGAGAUUCCCCCAGUAGCGGCGAGCGAACGGGGAGCAGCCCAGAGCCUGAAUCAGUGUGUGUGUUAGUGGAAGCGUCUGGAAAGGCGCGCGAUACAGGGUGACAGCCCCGUACACAAAAAUGCACAUGCUGUGAGCUCGAUGAGUAGGGCGGGACACGUGGUAUCCUGUCUGAAUAUGGGGGGACCAUCCUCCAAGGCUAAAUACUCCUGACUGACCGAUAGUGAACCAGUACCGUGAGGGAAAGGCGAAAAGAACCCCGGCGAGGGGAGUGAAAAAGAACCUGAAACCGUGUACGUACAAGCAGUGGGAGCACGCUUAGGCGUGUGACUGCGUACCUUUUGUAUAAUGGGUCAGCGACUUAUAUUCUGUAGCAAGGUUAACCGAAUAGGGGAGCCGAAGGGAAACCGAGUCUUAACUGGGCGUUAAGUUGCAGGGUAUAGACCCGAAACCCGGUGAUCUAGCCAUGGGCAGGUUGAAGGUUGGGUAACACUAACUGGAGGACCGAACCGACUAAUGUUGAAAAAUUAGCGGAUGACUUGUGGCUGGGGGUGAAAGGCCAAUCAAACCGGGAGAUAGCUGGUUCUCCCCGAAAGCUAUUUAGGUAGCGCCUCGUGAAUUCAUCUCCGGGGGUAGAGCACUGUUUCGGCAAGGGGGUCAUCCCGACUUACCAACCCGAUGCAAACUGCGAAUACCGGAGAAUGUUAUCACGGGAGACACACGGCGGGUGCUAACGUCCGUCGUGAAGAGGGAAACAACCCAGACCGCCAGCUAAGGUCCCAAAGUCAUGGUUAAGUGGGAAACGAUGUGGGAAGGCCCAGACAGCCAGGAUGUUGGCUUAGAAGCAGCCAUCAUUUAAAGAAAGCGUAAUAGCUCACUGGUCGAGUCGGCCUGCGCGGAAGAUGUAACGGGGCUAAACCAUGCACCGAAGCUGCGGCAGCGACGCUUAUGCGUUGUUGGGUAGGGGAGCGUUCUGUAAGCCUGUGAAGGUGUGCUGUGAGGCAUGCUGGAGGUAUCAGAAGUGCGAAUGCUGACAUAAGUAACGAUAAAGCGGGUGAAAAGCCCGCUCGCCGGAAGACCAAGGGUUCCUGUCCAACGUUAAUCGGGGCAGGGUGAGUCGACCCCUAAGGCGAGGCCGAAAGGCGUAGUCGAUGGGAAACAGGUUAAUAUUCCUGUACUUGGUGUUACUGCGAAGGGGGGACGGAGAAGGCUAUGUUGGCCGGGCGACGGUUGUCCCGGUUUAAGCGUGUAGGCUGGUUUUCCAGGCAAAUCCGGAAAAUCAAGGCUGAGGCGUGAUGACGAGGCACUACGGUGCUGAAGCAACAAAUGCCCUGCUUCCAGGAAAAGCCUCUAAGCAUCAGGUAACAUCAAAUCGUACCCCAAACCGACACAGGUGGUCAGGUAGAGAAUACCAAGGCGCUUGAGAGAACUCGGGUGAAGGAACUAGGCAAAAUGGUGCCGUAACUUCGGGAGAAGGCACGCUGAUAUGUAGGUGAAGUCCCUCGCGGAUGGAGCUGAAAUCAGUCGAAGAUACCAGCUGGCUGCAACUGUUUAUUAAAAACACAGCACUGUGCAAACACGAAAGUGGACGUAUACGGUGUGACGCCUGCCCGGUGCCGGAAGGUUAAUUGAUGGGGUCAGCGCAAGCGAAGCUCUUGAUCGAAGCCCCGGUAAACGGCGGCCGUAACUAUAACGGUCCUAAGGUAGCGAAAUUCCUUGUCGGGUAAGUUCCGACCUGCACGAAUGGCGUAAUGAUGGCCAGGCUGUCUCCACCCGAGACUCAGUGAAAUUGAACUCGCUGUGAAGAUGCAGUGUACCCGCGGCAAGACGGAAAGACCCCGUGAACCUUUACUAUAGCUUGACACUGAACAUUGAGCCUUGAUGUGUAGGAUAGGUGGGAGGCUUAGAAGUGUGGACGCCAGUCUGCAUGGAGCCGACCUUGAAAUACCACCCUUUAAUGUUUGAUGUUCUAACGUUGACCCGUAAUCCGGGUUGCGGACAGUGUCUGGUGGGUAGUUUGACUGGGGCGGUCUCCUCCUAAAGAGUAACGGAGGAGCACGAAGGUUGGCUAAUCCUGGUCGGACAUCAGGAGGUUAGUGCAAUGGCAUAAGCCAGCUUGACUGCGAGCGUGACGGCGCGAGCAGGUGCGAAAGCAGGUCAUAGUGAUCCGGUGGUUCUGAAUGGAAGGGCCAUCGCUCAACGGAUAAAAGGUACUCCGGGGAUAACAGGCUGAUACCGCCCAAGAGUUCAUAUCGACGGCGGUGUUUGGCACCUCGAUGUCGGCUCAUCACAUCCUGGGGCUGAAGUAGGUCCCAAGGGUAUGGCUGUUCGCCAUUUAAAGUGGUACGCGAGCUGGGUUUAGAACGUCGUGAGACAGUUCGGUCCCUAUCUGCCGUGGGCGCUGGAGAACUGAGGGGGGCUGCUCCUAGUACGAGAGGACCGGAGUGGACGCAUCACUGGUGUUCGGGUUGUCAUGCCAAUGGCACUGCCCGGUAGCUAAAUGCGGAAGAGAUAAGUGCUGAAAGCAUCUAAGCACGAAACUUGCCCCGAGAUGAGUUCUCCCUGACUCCUUGAGAGUCCUGAAGGAACGUUGAAGACGACGACGUUGAUAGGCCGGGUGUGUAAGCGCAGCGAUGCGUUGAGCUAACCGGUACUAAUGAACCGUGAGG